rnacentral:rRNA from 1 species
UACGAAGGGGGCUAGCGUUGCUCGGAAUUACUGGGCGUAAAGCGCACGUAGGCGGUCUUUUAAGUCGGGGGUGAAAUCCUGGAGCUCAACUCCAGAACUGCCUUCGAUACUGGAAGACUCGAGUCCGGGAGAGGUGAGUGGAACUGCGAGUGUAGAGGUGAAAUUCGUAGAUAUUCGCAAGAACACCAGUGGCGAAGGCGGCUCACUGGCCCCGGUACUGACGCUGAGGUGGCGAAAGCGUGGGGAGCAAACAGGG